rnacentral:lncRNA from 1 species
AUGGUCCUUCCAAGAGGAAGAAGAAAAAGGAAGAACAGGUCAUCAGCCUCGGACCUCAGGUGGUUGAAGGAGAGAAUGUAUUUGGUGCCUGCCACAUCUUUGUCUCCUUCAAUGACACCUUUGUCCAUGUCACUGAUGUUUCUGGCAAGGGAACUACCUGCCAUGUGGCUGCCAGGAUGAAGAUGAAAGCUGACAGGAUGAAUCCUCACCACACACUGCCAUGUCGGCUGCCCAGGAGGUGGCCCAGCAGUGCAAGGAGCUGGGGCAUUACUGCCCUACACAUUUGCAAACUCCAGGCCACAGCAGGAAAUAGGACCAAGCACCCUGGACCUAGGGCCCAGUCAGCCCUCAGAACACUUGCCUGCUUGGGGAUGAAGAUCGGGGCAGAUCGAGGAUGUCACUCCCAUUCCCUUCCGACAGCACUAGAGGAAGGAGGAUUGCCAUGGUCACCGCCUGGGA